rnacentral:misc_RNA from 1 species
AUAACUUGACGCUAAUCGCGGCUGCUUGCAUGUGAUGUGCCCUCUCCUUCUUCACUCCCACAGACAAAACCCAUACUAGUAGCAGCAUAGCAGCCAAAUCACACACCUUUCCCUUUAUCUCGCUUUCUAAAUUUAGUUGCAGAGAUUUAAAGAUGGCACCCUCUGAGAUCUCCGUCUAACAGACCAAUCAAAUCGAUCCAUCAUGAAGGCCCAGACCAAGGUCGCCAAGCCCGGGAACCCUCUCAUUGCAUUUGAGCACAAGAGGGAUGCAUAUGGAUUUGCAGUGAG